AUGCACGUCAUCCUCGAGAAGUUGCCCAAGCAGCUCUGGACCCUAGAGGGGGUGGCCGACACGCUCGGCGACCAGGUCAUCAUCGACCGGCAUGACAGCUGCACUUUCGAGUGGGCAGACACGAAGACUUUCGCCGUCUGGGUGUGGGUGUGGGAGCUGCACCACAUCCCCACCAGGCGGACACUCUGGAAGCACGCGUGGGGUGCGGGCAGGGUGGAGGAAAUGCUUGGAUUCUCUCCGCCAAGCCGUGUCGUCGCGCCGCCACCGGCUCUGCUUAGGUGGGACAUCUUGGUCCACAUCGACCGCAUCGAGGAUUGGUCCCCUCUGUCCCCGCAACCUCCCACUCAGGAUAGAGCGGCCUCCCCUCCUUGGACGAUGACGACAACGACCGCCCAUUCCCGCGUCGCCCUCUUGCCGGCGGCUGGACGCACGGGAUCGAAGACAGGCGCGUGGUGCAGGAUCCGGGCGUGGGCGCGGGUCGUGCCCGCCUCCAGGCGCAGGUGGUGUCCACGGGCUGCAGGGGCAUGCCCUCAUCGGGCGCCAGGCACGGCCACGCUGGCAAGGGUGGUGGAGGCUAGAGGCGUUCCUAGAAGGACAACUUGCUAG
rnacentral:rRNA from 1 species